GACGAACGCUGGCGGCGUGCCUAAUACAUGCCAGUAGAACGCACAGUUUAUACCGUAGCUUGCUACACCAUAGACUGUGAGUUGCGAACGGGUGAGUAACGCGUAGGUAACCUGCCUGGUAGCGGGGGAUAACUAUUGGAAACGAUAGCUAAUACCGCAUAAUAUUGAUUAUUGCAUGAUAAUUGAUUGAAAGAUGCUAUUGCAUCACUACCUGAUGGACCUGCGUUGUAUUAGCUAGUAGGUGAGGUAACGGCUCACCUAGGCGACGAUACAUAGCCGACCUGAGAGGGUGAUCGGCCACACUGGAACUGAGACACGGCCCAGACUCCUACGGGAGGCAGCAGUAGGGAAUCUUCGGCAAUGGACGAAAGUCUGACCGAGCAACGCCGCGUGAGUGAAGAAGGUUUUCGGAUCGUAAAGCUCUGUUGUAAGGGAAGAACGGGUGUGUAAGUGGAAAGUUCACACUGUGACGGUAUCUUACCAGAAAGGAACGGCUAACUACGU
rnacentral:rRNA from 1 species